rfam:Asian citrus Psyllid, Diaphorina citri - Florida Strain, whole genome shotgun sequence.
AGCGGCGGUGAUAGUACGCUGAAAGCAUAAGGUCCUAAUGGGUUACUGAAGUGAAGCAACGUUGCGCUUGAUUAGUAAUCGGAUGAGUGACCAUGUGGGCAAUGAGCGCUGGCUUUU